rnacentral:rRNA from 1 species
AGAUUAAGUUAUUAAGGGCGCACGGUGGAUGCCUUGGCACUAGAAGCCGAUGAAGGACGUUACUAACGACGAUAUGCUUUGGGGAGCUGUAAGUAAGCUUUGAUCCAGAGAUUUCCGAAUGGGGAAACCCAGCAUGAGUUAUGUCAUGUUAUCGAUAUGUGAAUACAUAGCAUAUCAGAAGGCACACCCGGAGAACUGAAACAUCUUAGUACCCGGAGGAAGAGAAAGAAAAUUCGAUUCCCUUAGUAGCGGCGAGCGAAACGGGAAGAGCCCAAACCAACAAGCUUGCUUGUUGGGGUUGUAGGACACUCUAUACGGAGUUACAAAGGACGACAUUAGACGAAUCAUCUGGAAAGAUGAAUCAAAGAAGGUAAUAAUCCUGUAGUCGAAAAUGUUGUCUCUCUUGAGUGGAUCCUGAGUACGACGGAGCACGUGAAAUUCCGUCGGAAUCUGGGAGGACCAUCUCCUAAGGCUAAAUACUCUCUAGUGACCGAUAGUGAACCAGUACCGUGAGGGAAAGGUGAAAAGCACCCCGGAAGGGGAGUGAAAUAGAACCUGAAACCGUGUGCUUACAAGUAGUCAGAGCCCGUUAAUGGGUGAUGGCGUGCCUUUUGUAGAAUGAACCGGCGAGUUACGAUUUGAUGCAAGGUUAAGCAGUAAAUGUGGAGCCGUAGCGAAAGCGAGUCUGAAUAGGGCGUUUAGUAUUUGGUCGUAGACCCGAAACCAGGUGAUCUACCCUUGGUCAGGUUGAAGUUCAGGUAACACUGAAUGGAGGACCGAACCGACUUACGUUGAAAAGUGAGCGGAUGAACUGAGGGUAGCGGAGAAAUUCCAAUCGAACCUGGAGAUAGCUGGUUCUCUCCGAAAUAGCUUUAGGGCUAGCCUCAAGUGAUGAUUAUUGGAGGUAGAGCACUGUUUGGACGAGGGGCCCCUCUCGGGUUACCGAAUUCAGACAAACUCCGAAUGCCAAUUAAUUUAACUUGGGAGUCAGAACAUGGGUGAUAAGGUCCGUGUUCGAAAGGGAAACAGCCCAGACCACCAGCUAAGGUCCCAAAAUAUAUGUUAAGUGGAAAAGGAUGUGGCGUUGCCCAGACAACUAGGAUGUUGGCUUAGAAGCAGCCAUCAUUUAAAGAAAGCGUAAUAGCUCACUGGUCGAGUCGGCCUGCGCGGAAGAUGUAACGGGGCUAAACCAUGCACCGAAGCUGCGGCAGCGACACUAUGUGUUGUUGGGUAGGGGAGCGUUCUGUAAGCCUGCGAAGGUGUGCUGUGAGGCAUGCUGGAGGUAUCAGAGAAUGCCGGUGUGAGUAGCGAAAGACGGGUGAGAAUCCCGUCCACCGAUUGACUAAGGUUUCCAGAGGAAGGCUCGUCCGCUCUGGGUUAGUCGGGUCCUAAGCUGAGGCCGACAGGCGUAGGCGA